GCAUCGAUAGCUCAGUGGCAGAGCGGUGGGGCGUUUACCCAUGCGGCCCGGGUUCGAUUCCCGGUCCAUGUG